rnacentral:rRNA from 1 species
UACGGGGGGAGCAAGCGUUGUUCGGAUUUACUGGGCGUAAAGGGCGCGUAGGCGGCCACCGCAAGUCGACUGUGAAAUCUCCGGGCUUAACCCGGAAAGGUCAGCCGAUACUGCGGGGCUAGAGUGCAGAAGGGGCAGCUGGAAUUCUCGGUGUAGCGGUGAAAUGCGUAGAUAUCAGGAGGAACACCUAUAGCGAAGGCAGCUUGCUGGGACGUUACUGACGCUAAGGCGCGAAAGCGUGGGGAGCGAACAGG